rfam:Gossypium arboreum cultivar AKA8401 contig_18431_3, whole genome shotgun sequence.
AUACUAUGAUGUGGGCAUUUCCUAAGCAAUGACUUAAAGCGUUCUCAUGCUUCAUAUAAGUUCUCACCUUCGAAUUACUUAAAAUUGGCAAUGUCAAGCCUCAAUUG